rnacentral:rRNA from 1 species
UACAGAGGGGGCAAGCGUUAAUCGGAAUUACUGGGCGUAAAGCGUGCGUAGACGGUUACAUAAGUCGGGUGUGAAAGCCCCGGGCUCAACCUGGGAAUUGCAUUCGAGACUGCGUAGCUAGGGUGCGGAAGAGGGAAGCGGAAUUUCCAGUGGAGCGGUGAAAUGCGUAGAGAUUGGAAAGAACACCAAUGGCGAAAGCACUUUACUGGGCUAUUACUGACACUGAGAGACGAAAGCUAGGGUAGCAAAUGGG